CCUGCUAUUCCAGAUGUUCCAUAAAACCGUAAUCAAAUCGGAUAAAGCCUUCUUGUCUAACACACGGGCAGCAUCCUCAACCUAGUCCACACACCGAUUAUAGCAGCCCUCGAGAAGCUUAUGAUUCAAACCACCAUAUUCCAGCACCGCCCUAUCCCUGGGACAAUCUUUCAACGCAUGAAUGAGAGUCUCCUUUUCCCUACCACAUCUCGGACAUAAGCUAUUGAACUCCCUCCGGAUACACGAAAUUUUCUCGUACGUAGGGAGAAUGUCGUGCCCUAAAUGCCAGCAAAAAAUUUUGAUCUUCGGCAGAGUGUGCAACUUCCACGUAAGCUUCCAGAAAAUACGAUGGGGGCCAAAACCCACAUGCUU
rnacentral:lncRNA from 1 species